rnacentral:rRNA from 1 species
GACAGAGGGUGCAAACGUUGUUCGGAAUUACUGGGCGUAAAGCGCGUGUAGGCGGCUUGGCAAGUCGGGUGUGAAAGCCCCGGGCUCAACCUGGGAAGUGCACUCGAAACUGCUUGGCUUGAGUACUGGAGAGGGAAGCGGAAUUCUCGGUGUAGAGGUGAAAUUCGUAGAUAUCGAGAGGAACACCGGUGGCGAAGGCGGCUACCUGGACAGUUACUGACGCUGAGACGCGAAAGCGUGGGGAGCAAACAGG